rnacentral:rRNA from 1 species
GACGAACGCUGGCGGCGUGCUUAACACAUGCAAGUCGAGCGGAGCGGCGAACGGGUGAAUAACGCGUGAGUAACUGCCCCCCUCUCUGGGAUAACAGUUGGCAACGGCUGCUAAUACCGGAUAGUGGGGGAUGACUCGCGUCCAAUCAGCUUGUUGGUUGGGUAGGGGCCUACCAAGGCGACGACGGGUAGCCGGCCUGGGAGGGGGACCGGCCACAUUAGGCUGAGAUACGGCCCAAUCGCCUACGGGAGGCAGCGGUGGGAAAUAUUGCGCAACGAGGAAAAGCCGGAUGAAACGACGCCGGGGGCGUAAUGACGGCCUUCGGGUUGUAAACCGCUUUCGGCCAUGACGCGGUAGUGGCAGAAGAAGCACCGGCUAACUCCGUGCCAGCAGCCGCGGUAAUAC